GCAUCGAUAGCUCAGUGGCAGAGCAGUGGGAUGGUAGGUACCCCAUGCGGCCCGUGUUCGAGUCCCGGUAGAUGCA